rnacentral:rRNA from 1 species
AAUAUUGGACAAGGGGCACAAACGUGAUUCCAGCAAAGGCGCGCGUGUGAAGAAGACCUGCGGGGUGUAAAGCACUUUCACUGGGGAAGAAUACCUUGGUUUCAAUACCCUCGGGGGUUGACGUUACCCACAGAAAAAGCCCCGGCUAACUCCGUGCCAGCAGCCGCGGUAAUACGGAGGGGGCAAGCGUUAAUCGGAAUCACUGGGCGUAAAGCGCGCGUAGGCGGCAACGUAAGUCAGAUGUGAAAUCCCUGGGCUCAACCGGGGAAGGGCAUUUGAGACUGCGUCUCUAGAGUCUGAGAGAGGGGGGUGGAAUUCCGGGUGUAGCGGUGAAAUGCGUAGAGAUCGGGAGGAACACCAGUGGCGAAGGCGGCCCCCUGGCUCAAGACUGACGCUGAGGCGCGAAAGCGUGGGGAGCAAACAGGAUUAGAUACCCGGGUAGUCCACGCCGUAAAAGAUGUAGACUAGGUGUGGGGGCCAUUCUAACCGCUCGUGCCGCAGCUAACGCGAUAAGUGAUCCGCCUG